AGGAGAGGGCUCUGUAUUCCAUGCUGUAGUCCUUUUGAGUGUGAUCUACCUCCGGACAACAUGUUGUGAAGGCAUGUAUAGCGGAAUCCUGGCUUAGGCAGGCUCCUGUCGUAUUUCAUCGUUAUUUCACAUGUUCACCUGUAAAUCGUGAAGUCUGAAGCAUGAUCAUGUACUCUCCAAUUCACAGGUAAUCCAGUCCACUCCUCUGUCCCACACAACACACCAACCCAUCAUGUGUGAAGCCCCUGCUGGGACAUGCAUGCCCCAUGCAGCAGCUCAACUGCUGAAUGUUACCAAAGCAGUGCUUCACGGCAAAGGUGUACUAAUUAAUGCUCAUCACUGAACACCAUAACCGGACAUUUGUAUCCUCCUUGAACUGCCAGAAAAUCAACAUGAGGUAAUAGGUACAUGCACUACACCUUUGACGCCAACUUAUUACAUUACCAUAACCGUGCAAACGUGUUACACACAACCUCAAACGAUUGCUGUCAUGAAAGCCCUUCUACCUCUCAUAUGUCCUUAGCAGCAUGGAGGCACAUGCCAGUCCCUCCUGAGCCUUACAAGUCACUUACAACCCACGCUGUUCCAUUCAUUGUGAACACAUUCUUGCGUGUCAUCAGUGAUGAUGAUGAUGAUGAUGCCCGAUGCCUUCUUCAAAUCGUUUCAAUCAUCCAUGAAAUAAGCAACAGUUUCAUGUAUUUUUAUGCCUGAAUCCCUGCGCCACGUUCACAUAUUCAACCCUGCCACUGACCCUCUUUCCACAUCCCCUUCUCACCAGGCACCCCUCACAACCUAACACUCAUCUGUACUCACCCACCAACAUACCCAACUAAACUCACCCACAACAAAACACACUCAGUUUCCCACCAACUGCCGCCCUCGCGGGAUUCGUGCGGGGUUCUGUGCUUUAUUAGAAGCCAAACUGCGAAGAUGUUCAUGGUACUCCUCUGGGUUCAGAUAGCGUUGCCCGAUUCUGUAGUCAGUGGCAGGACAGGAGCAGCAUACAGACAUUCUUGUGUAAAGGCUUUGUUUUCAUGCCUGCGAAAGUCUGGCCUAAGGUCAGCCCUAAGGCACUGAUUGGGUCAGUAACCCAUGGGUUACCCAUCUUCAACCCCCGGUAGCCCUUUGGUAACCCCCUUGUAAGUUCCUACACAGCAGGAGGGGUGACACGGCCCCAGGGUAAACCCCUCCGUUGCCCUGGACUAUGGACAUAUGUAUGGGCCUAUAGGCUACUCGUCUUAUAUGCUUCCCACAUCGUAAAUUCCGCUUAAGGAUACUUCUNNNNNNNNNNNNNNNNNNNNNNNNNNNNNNNNNNNNNNNNNNNNNNNNNNGCUGGGACAUGCAUGCCCCAUGCAGCAGCUCAACUGCUGAAUGUUACCAAAGCAGUGCUUCACGGCAAAGGUGUACUAAUUAAUGCUCAUCACUGAACACCAUAACCGGACAUUUGUAUCCUCCUUGAACUGCCAGAAAAUCAACAUGAGGUAAUAGGUACAUGCACUACACCUUUGACGCCAACUUAUUACAUUACCAUAACCGUGCAAACGUGUUACACACAACCUCAAACGAUUGCUGUCAUGAAAGCCCUUCUACCUCUCAUAUGUCCUUAGCAGCAUGGAGGCACAUGCCAGUCCCUCCUGAGCCUUACAAGUCACUUACAACCCACGCUGUUCCAUUCAUUGUGAACACAUUCUUGCGUGUCAUCAGUGAUGAUGAUGAUGAUGAUGCCCGAUGCCUUCUUCAAAUCGUUUCAAUCAUCCAUGAAAUAAGCAACAGUUUCAUGUAUUUUUAUGCCUGAAUCCCUGCGCCACGUUCACAUAUUCAACCCUGCCACUGACCCUCUUUCCACAUCCCCUUCUCACCAGGCACCCCUCACAACCUAACACUCAUCUGUACUCACCCACCAACAUACCCAACUAAACUCACCCACAACAAAACACACUCAGUUUCCCACCAACUGCCGCCCUCGCGGGAUUCGUGCGGGGUUCUGUGCUUUAUUAGAAGCCAAACUGCGAAGAUGUUCAUGGUACUCCUCUGGGUUCAGAUAGCGUUGCCCGAUUCUGUAGUCAGUGGCAGGACAGGAGCAGCAUACAGACAUUCUUGUGUAAAGGCUUUGUUUUCAUGCCUGCGAAAGUCUGGCCUAAGGUCAGCCCUAAGGCACUGAUUGGGUCAGUAACCCAUGGGUUACCCAUCUUCAACCCCCGGUAGCCCUUUGGUAACCCCCUUGUAAGUUCCUACACAGCAGGAGGGGUGACACGGCCCCAGGGUAAACCCCUCCGUUGCCCUGGACUAUGGACAUAUGUAUGGGCCUAUAGGCUACUCGUCUUAUAUGCUUCCCACAUCGUAAAUUCCGCUUAAGGAUACUUCUAAAAAUGUAAACGUUAGCAACCUACAGUAUCGUGGUAUCUCGGGAAGCAUUUCAACCUUAAGGUCUCUAAUGCUAGCAUCACACACGCAAGGAAUAAGCAAUAAGUACCUAUGUCUUGGCCUCUUUGGCUUGUAGAUGAGUACAGGAGAAGGGGCGAAUGCUGGCAGCACACACGCAAGUCGACGACAGGUCUUAAUUAAAUGGAUGCCUUUGGUUGUCAUCCAAUGUUAUAUAAUAGUUGUCAUUGUGAAACAUCAUGAUCAGGCAGUCAGUCCUGAGGUCGGCCGACAUAUUACCGGCCGCAGGGAACGAGCCGAAACUUGACCAGGUCUGCGGAAACUUUUCGUAAUCGGGAGGCCCUUUGCGGAAAGGCUGCGGAAACUGCGGGAAGCUGCGAAAACUAUAAAAUGAAUAUGUAACGAUGUUUUUUAGCUCUUCUCAGUGUGGCGAUAACAUGGACAGUCUGAAACCAGCUUGUGGCAGUGCGGUUCUGUCCGGUGGGAUCUAGAAUCUGGUGGAUUCAAUCGUGCUCGAAG
rnacentral:lncRNA from 1 species